CGAAACUUCCCGAUUCUACCAGUGGAACGAAAAACGUCUGCAUUUGAGGUCUGCAUACAUCACUGAUGAGGUCACUUCCUUGCUCUCCUCUCCACUCAGUAAAGAUGAGAUAUCAGUUUGGUUUUCAACAAUCAUUGAGAGUCAACAUGUACAAACCUCUUAUCAUUAUCACAGUCCCCCUCUUCUGGAUCACAGGUGUCUCUCUCAGUAAAGUAGUGUACCAGUCUCCCUCUACACUGCUGGUAGAGCCUAAUGCGUCUGUCUCUGUCCCACUCAGCUGCAGUCAUAAAAUCCCUAGCUAUAACACUAUCCUCUGGUACCAGCGUCCUGUGGGAGACACAGCUCUGAAACUCAUAGCAUAUGUAUACAUUACAAGUCAGACUGUUGAACCGUCAUAUAAAGGUUACUUUGACGUGAAAGGUGAUGGAAGGAACGAAGCCUUCCAUCUUCCUCCUUCUCUUCUUCCUCUCCUCUUCCCCCUCUUCCUCUCAUCUUCCUCCUCCUCUUCUUCCUCUCUUCCUCAUCCUCGCCUUCUUCCUCCCCUUCCUCCCCUCUUCCUCUUCAUGUCCUCUUCCUCUCCACUUCUUCCCCCUCUUCCUCUCCUCUUACCCCUCUUCCUCUCAUCCUCCUCUCCUCUUCCUCUCCUCUUCCUCUCCUCCCAGGGUUGUGUCUAGGUGCCAGGGUUCUCCAGACUCCUUGGUAAUGACCCCCAGGGGACUCCGCUGAUCGCUUCUGUUCCCACACUAAAAAAUACUAUGAUGUUAUUCUCUGGUACAGACAGUCUUACUCUCAGGACAUACAGCUACAACUGUUGGGGUACCUUUACACAGAAAACAAAACCCAGAAUCUAGUUUCAAGGACAAAAGGAAAAUGAGAGGAAACAUUAUUGUGAUUUAAUAUUUUCCAACCUGACACAAGAGGAUAGUUCAGUAUAUUUCUGUGCUGUCAGACAGGACAGUUGAGCAGAUCUCAAAGAUAGUCAGUUACACUACGGAGUCCAUAAGGAGAGGCUGAGAAAGUAGAGAUGUGCUGAUGGCUGUGGACCUGUCUCUAACUCUGAAUGACCACAACCUCCCUGGAUGUGACUAAAGUACUCCCUCCACCGCUCAGUCCUCCCUGGAUGUGACUAAAAUGCUCAGUCCUCCCUCCACCACUCAGUCCUCCCUGGAUGUGACUAAGAUACUCCCUCUACCACUCAGUCCUCCCUGGAUGUGACUAAGAUUCUCCCUCCACCUCUCAGUCCUCCCUGGAUGUGACUAAGAUACUCCCUCCACCGCUCAGUCCUCCCUGGAUGUGACUAAGAUACUCCCUCCACCGCUCAGUGCUCCCUGGAUGUGGCUAAGAUGCUCAGUCCUCCCUCCACCGCUCAGUCCUCCCUGGAUGUGACUAAAAUUCUCCCUCCACCGCUUCAUCUAGAAGUGUCGGGACAAGUUGUAUUCUUUCAAGACAGCGAUGCUCUCUUUGCACACCAAGCACACAGCUUUCCCUGAUACCUCAAUAAAUAAAUAUUUCAAUGUCCACUCUUGCUGGAACACCCUACAUUAAUUUUUCUACUUUCCUUUUCUUUUAAAUCUUUGAAAAAACAUAUUUUUUGCACAAUUUUUCUAGCUAGCUACUAUUUGUAACUGUGACGUGUGUGUCAGCCUGUCAGUUGUUAUUUAUACGGGCC
rnacentral:lncRNA from 1 species